AUUGUGCAGAAUUAAAGUGCAGUAAAAUGUCCACUAGGACCCCGUUGCCAACGGUGAAUGAACGAGACACUGAAAACCACACGUCACAUGGAGAUGGGCGUCAAGAAGUUACCUCUCGUACCAGCCGCUCAGGAGCUCGGUGUAGAAACUCUAUAGCUUCCUGUGCAGAUGAACAACCUCACAUCGGAAACUACAGACUGUUGAAAACAAUCGGCAAGGGGAAUUUUGCAAAAGUAAAAUUGGCAAGACAUAUCCUUACAGGCAGAGAGGUUGCAAUAAAAAUAAUUGACAAAACUCAGUUGAAUCCAACAAGUCUGCAAAAGCUCUUCAGAGAAGUAAGAAUAAUGAAGAUUUUAAAUCAUCCCAAUAUAGUGAAGUUAUUCGAAGUCAUUGAAACUGAAAAAACACUCUACCUAAUCAUGGAAUAUGCAAGUGGAGGUGAAGUAUUUGACUAUUUGGUUGCACAUGGCAGGAUGAAGGAAAAAGAAGCAAGAUCUAAAUUUAGACAGAUUGUGUCUGCAGUUCAAUACUGCCAUCAGAAACGGAUCGUACAUCGAGACCUCAAGGCUGAAAAUCUAUUGUUAGAUGCCGAUAUGAACAUUAAAAUAGCAGAUUUUGGUUUUAGCAAUGAAUUUACUGUUGGCGGUAAACUCGACACAUUUUGUGGCAGUCCUCCAUACGCAGCACCUGAGCUCUUCCAGGGCAAGAAAUACGACGGGCCAGAAGUGGAUGUGUGGAGUCUGGGGGUCAUUUUAUACACACUAGUCAGUGGCUCACUUCCCUUUGAUGGGCAAAACCUGAAGGUAUAAGAAGCUGCACCCAUGUACUUCACUAAACUAAAAGAAGUUUCCUAAUAUUACAUGGCUUAAUAUUUUUAACAUUAUAUCAGUGUGGGGGUUUCAGGGGG
rnacentral:sRNA from 1 species